GAUGAACGCUGGCGGCGUGCUUAACACAUGCAAGUCGAACGGAAAGGCCCUGCUUUUGUGGGGUGCUCGAGUGGCGAACGGGUGUGUAACACGUGAGUAACCUGCCCUUGACUUUGGGAUAACUUCAGGAAACUGGGGCUAAUACCGGAUAGGAGCUCCUGCUGCAUGGUGGGGGUUGGAAAGUUUCGGCGGUUGGGGAUGGACUCGCGGGUUAUCAGCUUGUUGGUGGGGUAGUGGCUUACCAAGGCUUCGACGGAUAGCCGGCCUGAGAGGGUGACCGGCGACAAGGGGACUGAGAGAGGGACCAGACGCGUACGGUAGGCAGCGGUGGGGAGUAUUGCGCAGUGAGCGGGAGCCUGUGGCGGAAGCGCCGGGUGCGGGAUGACGGCCUUCGGGUUGUGAACCGCUUUCGCCUGUGACGAAGCGUGAGUGACGGUAAUGAGUAAAGAAGCACCGGCUAACUACGUG
rnacentral:rRNA from 1 species